AACCAGAAGGCGCAAUGAAAGUGAAGGCACGGUUGCCGUGCUGAGGUGAGAGCUGUCCCUGGCAGCACAUCAUCGACCGAUCCCAUCCGCACCCUUGUGGCGCGGCGGGAUUCGAGUAAGAGUGUACCUGUUGCGACCCGAAAGAUGGUGAACUAUGCCUGAAUAGGGUGAAGCCAGAGGAAACUCUGGUGGAGGCCCGUAGCGAUUCUGACGUGCAAAUCGAUCGUCAAAUUUGGGUAUAGGGGCGAAAGACUAAUCGAACCAUCUAGUAGCUGGUUCCCUCCGAAGUUUCCCUCAGGAUAGCUGUAGCCCGAAGCAGUUUUAUCAGGUAAAGCGAAUGAUUAGAGGUAUCGGGGAAGAAACUUCCUCGACCUAUUCUCAAACUUUAAAUAGGUAAGAAGUCCGACUUGCUUAAUUUGAAGCCGGACACAGAAUGCUGGGUUACUAGUGGGCCAUUUUUGGUAAGCAGAACUGGCGAUGCGGGAUGAACCGAACGCUGAGUUAAGGUGCCAAAGUCGACGCUCAUCAGAUCCCACAAA
rnacentral:rRNA from 1 species